UACGUAGGGGGCAAGCGUUGUCCGGAUUUAUUGGGCGUAAAGAGCGUGUAGGCGGCUAGGUAGGUCCGUUGUGAAAACUCGAGGCUCAACCUCGAGACGUCGAUGGAAACCAUCUAGCUAGAGUCCGGAAGAGGAGAGUGGAAUUCCUGGUGUAGCGGUGAAAUGCGCAGAUAUCAGGAAGAACACCCGUGGCGAAGGCGGCUCUCUGGGACGGUACUGACGCUGAGACGCGAAAAGCGUGGGGGAGCGAACAGG
rnacentral:rRNA from 1 species